rnacentral:rRNA from 1 species
CGCGGCCUAUCAGCUUGUUGGUGAGGUAAUGGCUCACCAAGGCAUCGACGGGUAGCUGGUCUGAGAGGACGAUCAGCCACACUGGGACUGAGACACGGCCCAGACUCCUACGGGAGGCAGCAGUGGGGAAUAUUGCGCAAUGGGCGAAAGCCUGACGCAGCAACGCCGCGUGUGGGGUGACAGCUUUCGGGUUGUAAACCACUUUCAGUCACGACGAAAAUGACGGUAGUCACAGAAGAAGGUCCGGCCAACUACGUGCCAGCGGCCGCGGUAAUACGUAGGGACCAAGCGUUGUCCGGAAUUAUUGGGCGUAAAGAGCUCGUAGGCGGUUCGGUAAGUCGGGUGUGAAUAUCCAGGGCUCAACCCUGGGACGCCACCCGAUACUGCUGUGACUAGGGUCCGGUAGAGGAGUGUGGAAUUCCUGGUGUAGCGGUGAAAUGCGCAGAUAUCAGGAGGAACACCAGCGGCGAAGGCGGCACUCUGGGCCGGUACUGACGCUGAGGAGCGAAAGCAUGGGGAGCAAACAGGAUUAGAUACCCUGGUAGUCCAUGCCGUAAACGUUGGGCACUAGGUAUGGGACCUUAUCAACGGGUUCCGUGCCGUAGCUAAGGCAUUAAGUGCCCCGCCUGGGAGUACGG